CUCGGCCUGUGGUACAGACCUAUUUAUGCACGACAUUUUGAGUAAAGUAGUUCAAAUUUAAAGCGUUAUCCUUGAUAGCUCUUCACUGACGAAUUUCCUUUCUAGUGCCUCCAUAAGUAACUGAUGACCGGCUAUUUCAUGCCCAUGGUGGCUUAAAUUUUUUAUUGAAGGAAUUCAACAUGUCUAACAUGAUCAAAGGUCAAGUGAAGUGGUUCAACGAGUCUAAAGGUUUUGGUUUCAUCACUCCUGCAGACGGCAGCAAAGACGUGUUCGUACACUUCUCUGCAAUCCAGGAUCAAGGCUUCAAGACCCUGGCUGAAGGCCAGAACGUACAGUUCUCUAUCGAGAACGGUGCUAAAGGUCCGUCAGCGGCUAACGUUACCGCUAUCUAAUCGGCCUCUCGCUGAUUAACAAAAACCCGCCAAGGCGGGUUUUUUUGU
rnacentral:sRNA from 1 species